AACGCUGGCGGCGUGCCUAAUACAUGCAAGUCGAGCGAAUGGAUUGAGAGCUUGCUCUUAUGAAGUUAGCGGCGGACGGGUGAGUAACACGUGGGUAACCUGCCCAUAAGACUGGGAUAACUCCGGGAAACCGGGGCUAAUACCGGAUAAUAUUUUGAACUGCAUGGUUCGAAAUUGAAAGGCGGCUUCGGCUGUCACUUAUGGAUGGACCCGCGUCGCAUUAGCUAGUUGGUGAGGUAACGGCUCACCAAGGCAACGAUGCGUAGCCGACCUGAGAGGGUGAUCGGCCACACUGGGACUGAGACACGGCCCAGACUCCUACGGGAGGCAGCAGUAGGGAAUCUUCCGCAAUGGACGAAAGUCUGACGGA
rnacentral:rRNA from 1 species